UGUGGGAUAGUCCUGCGAAAGUGGGUGUAAUACCGCAUAAGCUCUUCAGGUUAGAGCCUGAGGAUGAAAGCUGGCCUCUGCGAGCAAGCUGGUGUCAAGAGAGGGGGUUGCGUCCUAUUAGCUAGCUGGUGGGGUAAUGGCCUACCAGGGCGACGAUGGGUAGCUGGUCUGAGAGGAUGAUCAGUCACACUGGGACUGAGAGACGGCCCAG
rnacentral:rRNA from 1 species